rnacentral:rRNA from 1 species
UAGGGAAUAUUGCACAAUGGAGGAAACUCUGAUGCAGCGACGCCGCGUGAGUGAUGAAGGCCUUCGGGUUGUAAAGCUCUGUCGUACGGGAAUAAGCAAGUGAAUGUACCGUGCAAGAAAGGAUCGGCUAACUUCGUGCCAGCAGCCGCGGUAAGACGAGGGAUCCUAGCGUUGUUCGGAAUCAUUGGGCGUAAAGCGGGUGCAUGUGGCUCAAUAAGUCAGGUGUGAAAUCCCAGGGCUCAACCCUGGAAGUGCAUUUGAUACUGUUAAGCUUGAGUGCUGGAGAGGUAAGCAGAAUACCUGGUGUAGUGGUGAAAUACGUAGAUAUCAGGUGGAAUACCGGAGGCGAAGGCGGCUUACUGGCCAGACACUGACACUCAGACCCGAAAGCGUGGGGAUCAAACAGG